GAUAUGGUGAAUUAUGUACGAAGAUUAUGAGUAGGUCAACAAGGAAUUAAUCACUUCUAGUAAGAGAAGAUAGCAUCCUAUUUAUUCUAAUCAUAUGGUAAUUCAGGAAGCCUUUGAUCAAAGCAGAAUGAAAAUUAGAAAGAGUUUCUAAAUAUUUCAUUAUUUGAAUUAUCAUUAAAAAAUUGAGAAAAAUAUGAAUAUGAAAUUGAGUUUGACAUAUAUUCAUACUCAUAUACAUAUUUGGGAUGCAGUUUGAUUAAAGGAUUGAAUUGCACGGUAACUUGCCACUGAAGGGUAUUUUUGGUAUUUCCACCAAAUUUCAUAUUUUCCGGAUAGACAUGACACGUUGCUAGACGUCAAUCUUGUCUUAUAGGUUUGAUCGAAUUAAAGAGUUUAAUUCGAUCACCAAUUAGAAAGGAUUCUAAUUGUUAAGUUCGGGUUCGCGCAGUUUGGACUUAAAUCGAUUAGAAGAGUUCUAAU
rnacentral:lncRNA from 1 species